rnacentral:rRNA from 1 species
UUGGAGGGCAAGUCUGGUGCCAGCAGCCGCGGUAAUUCCAGCUCCAAUAGCGUAUAUUAAAGUUGUUGCAGUUAAAAAGCUCGUAGUUGAAUUUCGGGGUUAGUAGGUUGGUCAUGCCACUGGUAUGUACUGGUCUCACUGAUUCCUCCUUCCUGAUGAACUGUAAUGCCAUUAAUUUGGUGUUGCAGGGAAUCUGGACUGUUACUUUGAAAAAAUUAGAGUGUUUAAAGCAGGCUAACGCCUGAAUACAUUAGCAUGGAAUAAUGAAAUAGGACGUUCGAUCCUAUUUUGUUGGUUUCUAGGAUUGACGUAAUGAUUAAUAGGGAUAGUUGGGGGCAUUAGUAUUCAAUUGUCAGAGGUGAAAUUCUUGGAUUUAUUGAAGACUAACUACUGCGAAAGCAUUUGCCAAGGAUGUUUUCAUUAAUCAAGAACGAAAGUUAGGGGAUCGAAGACGAUCAGAUACCGUCGUAGUCUUAACCAUAAACUAUGCCGACUAGGGAUCGGGUGAUGUUAAUUUUUUAAUGACUCAUUCGGCGCCUUACGGGAAAC